rnacentral:rRNA from 1 species
CAAUAGCGUAUAUUAAAGUUGUUGCAGUUAAAAGCUCGUAGUUGGAUUUCUGGGAGGGUGCUAAUGUCCGCCGUAGCGCGUGUGCAGCCGCGCCCUUCCAUCCUUCUGUUAACGCCUCUUGGCAUUUGUUUGCUGGUGGCGGGCUCAGAUAUUUUACCUUGAGAAAAUUAGAGUGUUUCAGGCAGGCUAGGCCGGAAUAUAUUAGCAUGGAAUAAUGGAAUAGGACUAUGGUCUCUUUGUUGGUUUGUAGGGACGUGCAGUAAUAGAUUAAUUAAGGGAGUAUUGGGGGUCGGAUUAGUAUUUAAUUUAGUUCAGAGGUGGGAAGUUACUUCAGAUUUGUUUAAA